UACGUAGGGGGCAAGCGUUGUCCGGAUUUAUUGGGCGUAAAGCGCACGCAGGCGGUCUUGUAAGUUUUGAGUGACAGGUGGUGGCUCAACUGCCACAGGCCUUGAAAAACUGCAAGACUUGAGGGCUUCAGAGGGACGCGGAAUUCCAGGUGGAGCGGUGAAAUGCGUAGAGAUCUGGAAGAACACCAAUGGCGAAGGCAGCGAUCCUGGGAAGCGACUGACCGCUCAUGUGCGAAAGCUAGGGGAGCGAACGGG
rnacentral:rRNA from 1 species